UACAGAGGGGGCAAGCGUUGUUCGGAAUUAAUGGGCGUAAAGGGCGCGUAGGCGGCCUGUUAAGUCGAACGUGAAAGCCCCGGGCUCAACCCUGGAACUGCAUCCGAAACCAUCUCGCUAGAGUAUGAGAGAGGGAAGCAGAAUUCCUGGUGUAGAGGUGAAAUUCGUAGAUAUCAGGAGGAAUACCUGCGGCGAAGGCGGCUUCCUGGCUCAUUACUGACGUCAGGUACGAAAGCGUGGGUAGC
rnacentral:rRNA from 1 species